CAGGGGCAAUGGAGGACGAUCCUGACUCCCUGUCAGAAGCAGAAGAACUUGCUAGUUCUCAUCUGGAUUCUGAACCAGCUGUGGGUCUAUGGGCCUCCCACACGCAGGAUGGGGGAGGCACAGAGCACCUGACUAGGCUUGGUCCUGAACCAUUUUAAGGACUUUCGCCAAGUCACAGAAGACCUGAUCUGCUUGCUCAUCCCCACACUAACCGUCCUGCAGGAACGAGUGGCCCACCUAUGGCCCGAGGAGGAGACUUUACCUCUCCCCACCAUUUACAGGGUGAUGGUUUAGUUUUUGAGGCUUGGGGCCACAUGGACCAAGUGCUAUAUAUCACCACGUAGCAAUACCUAGUUGAGAAGCCCCCUGUUUGGACAAGACCUUUUUUAUUACAGGC